GCAGGAAGCUGACCCCAACCCGGAGACCCCUGAGGACCACCUCCUCCUCCUCCUUCAACGCCCCCAAGCAGGCCAGCAGCCAGAAGCUGCCCCCCAGCAAGCUCCAUGGGAAGGAGAACUGCUCUGAGCUGGCAGAGAUCGAUGCCAGGCUGAAGGCCCUGCAGGAGUACAUGGAGAGCCUGGACCCCCACUCCUGACCCCCUGCCCCCCACUUUGGGGACCCCCCUGGCCCCUCCUGGGGACAAUGGUGGC